rnacentral:snRNA from 1 species
GGGUGUGAUUUGGCUCUACCUAUCGAUUGCCAGAUUGAUUCAGCUGAUCUGAUUGGCUAGCCAGUGUCCUUUUCUCCCCUCACCAUCCACAUGUGUCCCUCUUGAAGCUGAAGGUUCCAUUGAUCAGAGGACCCCAUGCCCCAUGAAAGAGGACCAUUCUUCAGUGAAAGAUAUGCAAGUAGCUCUGCAACCCAGUGGGAAGCUGCAAAUAGGCUCUCAAGGACUGUGAUAAUAAAACACGCACUCCUCCUGGUAAUGGUGAUCCUUAAGUUUUGUUUUAGGCAUAAUCUCAUAUCAUACACGCUGAGAAUAGAU